AGCAGCCGCGGUAAUUCCAGCUCCAAUAGCGUAUAUUAAAGUUGUUGCAGUUAAAAAGCUCGUAGUUGAAUUUCGGGAUCAAUUUAUUGGUCGUGCAAUAGUACGUACUGGUAUUAUUGGUUCCUACCUUCUGAUGAACCAUGAUGUCAUUAAUUUGGUGUUAUGGGGAAUCAGGACUGUUACUUUGAAAAAAUUAGAGUGUUUAAAGCAGGCUCACGCUUGAAUACAUUAGCAUGGAAUAAUGAAAUAGGACGUUUGAUUCUAUUUUGUUGGUUUCUAGGAUCGACGUAAUGAUUAAUAGGGAUAGUUGGGGGCAUUAGUAUUCAAUUGUCAGAGGUGAAAUUCUUGGAUUUAUUGAAGACUAACUACUGCGAAAGCAUUUGCCAAGGAUGUUUUCAUUAAUCAAGAACGAAAGUUAGGGGAUCGAAGACGAUCAGAUACCGUCGUAGU
rnacentral:rRNA from 1 species